GACGUAGGGUCCAAGCGUUGUCCGGAUUUACUGGGCGUAAAGAGCGCGUAGGCGGUCCGUUAAGUGUAGAGUGAAAGCUCCGGGCUCAACCCGGAAAUUGCUCUGCAUACUGGCGGACUCGAGGACGGAAGAGGUUUGUGGAAUUCCUGGUGUAGCGGUGAAAUGCGCAGAUAUCAGGAAGAACACCCGUGGCGAAGGCGGCUCUCUGGGACGGUACUGACGCUGAGACGCGAAAAGCGUGGGGAGCGAACAGG
rnacentral:rRNA from 1 species